GAAGUCGUUACUUCAACCCUCGGGAGGAGGACGUCGAAGGUGGGGCUGAUGACUGGGGUGAAGUCGUAACAAGGUAUCCGUACCGGAAGGUGCGGAUGGAUCACCUCCUAACAGGGAGACAAACAACGAUUUUGAUGUCUGAGCAAUUUAUUCUUAGGCCGAAAUCCUGUCACCUUAGGUCGAUCGGUACCUCAGCGUUGAAGCAACAGAGUUAACAGAGAUGUUGAUGCGUGUUGUGGAGAUGAUCAGUUCCUAAACUUUGUCUAGGUCACACCCCACAAGGGUUGAGUUUUCCUGGGCCAUUAGCUCAGGUGGUUAGAGCGCACCCCUGAUAAGGGUGAGGUCCCUGGUUCAAGUCCAGGAUGGCCCAUUCGGUGUUGGGGGUUUAGCUCAGUUGGUAGAGCGCCUGCUUUGCGAGCAGGAUGUCAGGAGUUCGAGUCUCCCAACCUCCACUGACCGAACUCGAUCUCCGGUUUUGCAUUGAAAGAUGGAGAGCCACUCGAUUGUGAUGUGUGAUUUAGAUGUGUUCACUAGAUUUGGACCCCAGCUUCCUGUCAUGCCAAAUGAGCAAAUUUUGCUUUAUUGGUUGAUAAGAUGCUGGGCUCAGAUUAAUCGAAAGAUUAAUUUGAUGUCUAGUAGAACCUUGACAACUGCAUAGGUAAGUCUGGAAAAACAAAGCAUCUUACAGAUGCAUUGUUUUAAGCCUGAAUUCUCGAAAGGGAAUUUAGAAUUAGAACAAUGAAAAUUCUUUUGAGCAAGAGCCGAGACUCUUAGAUGUUCUUUGAUUCGUGUCGAGCGAAUCAGAGUUUGAUUUUGUUUUUAUGAACAACGAAAGUUGUUGAUGAAACCAGAAGAAUCUGCUUUCAACCGCAGUAAGCGUUUAAGAGGUUAAUUGGUCAAGCUACAAAGGGCUCACGGCGGAUACCUUGGCACACAGAGGCGAUGAA
rnacentral:misc_RNA from 1 species